UGGGGAAUCUUGCGCAAUGGCCGAAAGGCUGACGCAGCGACGCCGCGUGGAGGAUGACGGUCUUCGGAUCGUAAACUCCUGUUGCCCGGGACGAAUAGCGAGCUUCGCGCUCGCCUGACGGUACCGGGUGAGGAAGCACCGGCUAACUCCGUGCCAGCAGCCGCGGUAAUACGGAGGGUGCGAGCGUUGUCCGGAAUCACCGGGCGUAAAGGGCGCGUAGGGCGGGCCGAGCAAGGUCGCGGUGAAAGCCCGGGGCUCAACCCCGGGUCGGCCGUGGCAACUACUCGGCUCGAGCACAGUAGAGGCGGGUGGAAUUCCGGGUGUAGCGGUGGAAUGCGUAGAGAUCCGGAAGAACACCGGUGGCGAAGGCGGCCCGCUGGGCUGUGGUCGAAAGACCUUCUAGCUGACGCUGAGGCGCGACAGCGUGGGGAGCAAACAGGAUUAGAUACCCUGGUAGUCCACGCCGUAAACGAUGGGCACUAGGUGCUUGGGGGAGCGACCCCCUGAGUGCCGGCGCUAACGCAUUAA
rnacentral:rRNA from 1 species